UCUCUAGCAGGUAUUUAACGAAGACAGCCUGAAAAUUAAUAUUAAUCCUUUGCUGGCAGCUGAAAAUUUUAGACAACUUAAGCCGAUGAAUGGACCGUAGCGUCAGUCAGUGGUGUUAGUCUAUUCAUUGGCUGGCUCUUGCACUAAAUAAGAACUCUUGUUGAUUAAAAAUCCAUUCCAGGAAUGCCACUGCACAUGUUAAAAGAGGCCUUAUUUUCCCCUGGGACCAAAAAUGUUUCUUCCUUUGCCUUUACAGGUCUUUUUUUAAUCUCAUCAAUUUCUGAACAGCCCUGUGACUCUCCUGUAGGUAAAAUUCUUACAGUUCUUUUCAAGCUCCAGGGCUCUCUAUCUCCAACCUACAGAACAGGUACUUUGAAAAAUAUUUACUUCAACGAUAAAGCCCCCGUCCACGAGUUUAAAAUACAAUAAAAACAAGAAUGUGUAUCAGUUGUUAAAUCCAUCUGAUGGCAGUCUCUCCUUGAGGAUACAGCUAAAAGAAUUUUCUCUGUAUCAUGUAGCACAACUAGAGUGGACAUUCUGGAACCCAGGUAGGUG
rnacentral:lncRNA from 1 species